rnacentral:rRNA from 1 species
UACGGAAGGCAGCAGUGGGGAAUAUUGCACAAUGGGCGCAAGCCUGAUGCAGCCAUGCCGCGUGUAUGAAGAAGGCCUUCGGGUUGUAAAGUACUUUCAGCGGGGAAGGAAGGCGAUGUGGUUAAUAACCGCAUCGAUUGACGUUACCCGCAGAAGAAGCACCGGCUAACUCCGUGCCAGCAGCCGCGGUAAUACGGAGGGUGCAAGCGUUAAUCGGAAUUACUGGGUCGUAAAGCGCACGCAGGCGGUCUGUCAAGUCGGAUGUGAAAUCCCCGGGCUUAAACCUGGGAACUGCAUUCGAAACUGGCAGGCUAGAGUCUUGGUAGAGGGGGUAGAAUUCCAGGUGUAGCGGUGAAAUGCGUAGAGAUCUGGAGGAAUACCGGUGGCGAAAGGCGGGCCCCCUGGGACAAAGACUGACGGCUCAGGUGCGAAAAGCGUGGGGACGCGAAACAGGAUUAGGAUAACC